GCUAAACGCGAAGAACCUUACCAGGUCUUGACAUCCCUCUGACCGGUCUAGAGAUAGGCCCUCCCUUCGGGGCAGAGGAGACAGGUGGUGCAUGGUUGUCGUCAGCUCGUGUCGUGAGAUGUUGGGUUAAGUCCCGCAACGAGCGCAACCCUUGAACUUAGUUGCCAGCACUUCGGGUGGGCACUCUAGGUUGACUGCCGGUGACAAACCGGAGGAAGGCGGGGAUGACGUCAAAUCAUCAUGCCCCUUAUGACCUGGGCUACACACGUACUACAAUGGCCGGUACAACGGGUCGCGAAGCCGCGAGGCGGAGCUAAUCCUAUCAAAGCCGGUCUCAGUUCGGAUUGCAGGCUGCAACUCGCCUGCAUGAAGUCGGAAUUGCUAGUAAUCGCGGAUCAGCAUGCCGCGGUGAAUACGUUCCCGGGUCUUGUACACACCG
rnacentral:rRNA from 1 species